rnacentral:rRNA from 1 species
UACGAAGGGGGCUAGCGUUGCUCGAAAUCACUGGGCGUAAAGCGCACGUAGGCGGCUUACUAAGUCAGGGGUGAAAUCCUGGAGCUCAACUCCAGAACUGCCUUUGAUACUGGUAAGCUCGAGUCCGGGAGAGGUGAGUGGAACUGCGAGUGUAGAGGUGAAAUUCGUAGAUAUUCGCAAGAACACCAGUGGCGAAGGCGGCUCACUGGCCCGGUACUGACGCUGAGGUGCGAAAGCGUGGGGAGCAAACAGG